rnacentral:rRNA from 1 species
GCAUAUCAAUAAGCGGAGGAAAAGAAACUAACUAGGAUUCCCUUAGUAACGGCGAGUGAACCGGGAUGAGCUCAAAUUUAAAAUCUGGCGUCUUUCAGGCGUCCGAGUUGUAAUCUAUAGAGGCGUUUUCCGCGCCGGACCGCGUCCAAGUCUCUUGGAAUAGAGUAUCAAAGAGGGUGACAAUCCCGUACUUGACGCGACAACCGGUGCUCUGUGAUACGUUCUCAAUGAGUCGAGUUGUUUGGGAAUGCAGCUCUAAAUGGGUGGUAAAUUCCAUCUAAGGCUAAAUAUUGGCGAGAGACCGAUAGCGAACAAGUACCGUGAGGGAAAGAUGAAAAGCACUUUGGAAAGAGAGUUAAACAGCACGUGAAAUUGUUAAAAGGGAAACGAUUGAAGUCAGUCGUGUGAAAGGUAUUCAGCCGUCUCUGGCGGUGUAUUUGCCUUUCACGGGUCAACAUCAGUUUGAUCCGGUAGAAAAAGGCAGGAGGAAGGUGGCACCCUCGGGUGUGCUAUAGCCUCUUGUCAUAUGUGCCGGACCAGACUGAGGAACGCAGCUUGCCGCAAGGCCGGGGUUCGCCCACGUACAAGCUUAGGAUGUUGACAUAAUGGCUUUAAACGACCCGUCUUGAAACACGGACC